rnacentral:rRNA from 1 species
UAGGGAAUCUUCCACAAUGGACGCAAGUCUGAUGGAGCAACGCCGCGUGAGUGAAGAAGGUCUUCGGAUCGUAAAGCUCUGUUGUUGGUGAAGAAGGAUAGAGGCAGUAACUGGUCUUUAUUUGACGGUAAUCAACCAGAAAGUCACGGCUAACUACGUGCCAGCAGCCGCGGUAAUACGUAGGUGGCAAGCGUUGUCCGGAUUUAUUGGGCGUAAAGCGAGCGCAGGCGGAAUGAUAAGUCUGAUGUGAAGGCCCACGGCUCAACCGUGGAACUGCAUCGGAACUGUCAUUCUUGAGUGCAGAAGAGGAGAGUGGAACUCCAUGUGUAGCGGUGGAAUGCGUAGAUAUAUGGAAGACACCAGUGGCGAAGGCGGCUCUCUGGUCUGCAACUGACGCUGAGGCUCGAAAGCAUGGGUAGCGAACAGGAUUAG